GCCCUAUCUCCUCCUUUGCUUCUCUGGUUGCAGUAUCAGCAUCACUUGCAUCUCCUUCUUCUGCUUUUCCUCCAGGCAAUGCGACUUCACCGGAGUGAGUAGAAAGCUUGGAAGACCUCUUAGUAAGAAUAACCCGAAGUUCCCCAUCAACCCCUUCAAAUAAACAGAUCAAAACAGCAGCUCUUUUGGGUUUAAAUCUUUCUUUCUGCACAACAGCAUCUGGGGUAACCGAUUCUUGAAAACCCAAUUGGGAAACAACCUUCCCUACCCUUUCUUCCAAUUUCUGCUCCUCGAAAUCAGCUUCAGCUUCAUCGUCGUCCCCAAAUGGUGUCGGCGGUGGGGGUUUGUAAAGACGCAAUUGUUGAGCUAAAGCAAACAACUUCUGAGAAGAUUUAUCAACUAAUGAUGAAGAUGAAGAUGAAGAAUCCAUUAUGAUCAAUUUGCGAAGUGAAAUUGGAGAUUGAAAUGAUGAAAU
rnacentral:misc_RNA from 1 species